rnacentral:tRNA from 1 species
GCCUUGGUAGCUUAGUAGGUAGAGCAUCACAUUGGUAAUGUGAAGGUCUUGAGUUCAAUUCUCAGCCAAGGCU